rnacentral:lncRNA from 1 species
AUACAACUAGAGGCUCUAAAGAGCCUGUGUCGCUCACCUUGGUCUAUGUGCAUAUUAAACAAAGGACACAAAUGGAUUCAUGACAAAAUUGUAUUUUGGUGAUGGUGAUGUGUUUGAAGUUCUUACUUUACUGGACGAUUUUGCUUCUUACAAUUAUAUCUAUAAUGAACUUUGCCCAUUAGUAACAGAGAACUAUAUUUGGUAAAAAUUUAAAUUACAUAUAUUUACCAAAUUAAUGAAAAUUGUUAAAAAUUGACUAUAAAGGGCAAUAACUCCUUAAGGGGUC